rnacentral:tRNA from 4 species
GCGCCACUAGCUCAGCUGGAUAGAGCGUCUGACUACGGAUCAGAAGGCCGGGAGUUCGAAUCUCUCGUGGCGCGCCA